GAGGGCUACAUGAGGUAGGUUUAAUGGCAGAACGGCGGUCUCCAAAACCGCAGGUGCGGGUUCGAUUCCUGCCGCCCUUGCCA
rnacentral:tRNA from 1 species